rnacentral:rRNA from 1 species
UGGCGGCGUGCUUAACACAUGCAAGUCGAACGAUGAACCACUUCGGUGGGGAUUAGUGGCGAACGGGUGAGUAACACGUGGGCAAUCUGCCCUUCACUCUGGGACAAGCCCUGGAAACGGGGUCUAAUACCGGAUACGACACUCUCGGGCAUCCGAUGAGUGUGGAAAGCUCCGGCGGUGAAGGAUGAGCCCGCGGCCUAUCAGCUUGUUGGUGAGGUAACGGCUCACCAAGGCGACGACGGGUAGCCGGCCUGAGAGGGCGACCGGCCACACUGGGACUGAGACACGGCCCAGACUCCUACGGGAGGCAGCAGUGGGGAAUAUUGCACAAUGGGCGAAAGCCUGAUGCAGCGACGCCGCGUGAGGGAUGACGGCCUUCGGGUUGUAAACCUCUUUCAGCAGGGAAGAAGCGAAAGUGACGGUACCUGCAGAAGAAGCGCCGGCUAACUACGUGCCAGCAGCCGCGGUAAUACGUAGGGCGCGAGCGUUGUCCGGAAUUAUUGGGCGUAAAGAGCUCGUAGGCGGUCUGUCGCGUCGGAUGUGAAAGCCCGGGGCUUAACCCCGGGUCUGCAUUCGAUACGGGCAGACUAGAGUGUGGUAGGGGAGAUCGGAAUUCCUGGUGUAGCGGUGAAAUGCGCAGAUAUCAGGAGGAACACCGGUGGCGAAGGCGGAUCUCUGGGCCAUUACUGACGCUGAGGAGCGAAAGCGUGGGGAGCGAACAGGAUUAGAUACCCUGGUAGUCCACGCCGUAAACGGUGGGAACUAGGUGUUGGCGACAUUCCACGUCGUCGGUGCCGCAGCUAACGCAUUAAGUUCCCCGCCUGGGGAGUACGGCCGCAAGGCUAAAACUCAAAGGAAUUGACGGGGG